rnacentral:rRNA from 1 species
AGCGCAGGUGGUUUAUUAAGUCUGGUGUAAAAGGCAGUGGCUCAACCAUUGUACGCAUUGGAAACUGGUAGACUUGAGUGCAGGAGAGGAGAGUGGAAUUCCAUGUGUAGCGGUGAAAUGCGUAGAUAUAUGGAGGAACACCGGUGGCGAAAGCGGCUCUCUGGCCUGUAACUGACACUGAGGCUCGAAAGCUGGGAGCAAACA